CAGCAGCCGCGGUAAUACGUAGGGAGCGAGCGUUAAUCGGAAUUACUGGGCGUAAAGCGUGCGCAGGCGGCUUUGCAAGACAGAUGUGAAAUCCCCGGGCUCAACCUGGGAACUGCAUUUGUGACUGCAAGGCUAGAGUGCGGCAGAGGGAGAUGGAAUUCCGCGUGUAGCAGUGAAAUGCGUAGAUAUGCGGAGGAACACCGAUGGCGAAGGCAAUCUCCUGGGCCUGCACUGACGCUCAUGCACGAAAGCGUGGGGAGCAAACAGGAUUAGAUACCCCUGUAGUCCCUGUCUCUUAUAC
rnacentral:rRNA from 1 species